CUACGGGCGGCUCCAGUGGGGAAUAUUGCACAAUGGAGGAAACUCUGAUGCAGCAACGCCGCGUGGAGGAUGACACUUUUCGGAGCGUAAACUCCUUUUAUAUAGGAAGAAGAUGACGGUAGCAUAUGAAUAAGCGCCGGCUAACUCCGUGCCAGCAGCCGCGGUAAUACGGAGGGCGCAAGCGUUACUCGGAAUCACUGGGCGUAAAGAGCGUGUAGGCGGAUUAAAAAGUCAGAAGUGAAAUCCUAUAGCUUAACUAUAGAACUGCUUCUGAAACUCUUAAUCUAGAAUAUGGGAGAGGUAGAUGGAAUUUCUGGUGUAGGGGUAAAAUCCGUAGAGAUCAGAAGGAAUACCGAUUGCGAAGGCGAUCUACUAGAACAUUAUUGACGCUGAGACGCGAAAGCGUGGGGAGCAAACAGGAUUAGAUACCCUGGUAGUC
rnacentral:rRNA from 1 species